GACGGAGGAUGCAAGUGUUAUCCGGAAUAACUGGGCGUAAAGCGUCUGUAGGUGGCUCAAUAAGUCAACUGUUAAAUCUCGAAGCUCAACUUCGAAAUCGCAGUCGAAACUAUUGGACUAGAGUAUAGUAGAGGUAAAGGGAAUUUCCAGUGGAGCGGUGAAAUGCGUAGAGAUUGGAAAGAACACCGAUGGCGAAGGCACUUUACUGGGCUAUUACUGACACUCAGAGACGAAAGCUAGGGUAGCAAAUGGG
rnacentral:rRNA from 1 species